CCUACGUGUGGCAGCAGUGAGGAAUAUUGGUCAAUGGGCGCGAGCCUGAACCAGCCAAGUAGCGUGAAGGAUGACUGCCCUACGGGUUGUAAACUUCUUUUAUAAAGGAAUAAAGUGAGGCACGUGUGCCGUUAUGUAAGUACUUUUUGAAUAAGGAUCGGCUAACUCCGUGCCAGCAGCCGCGGUAAUACGGAGGAUCCGAGCGUUAUCCGGAUUUAUGGGGUUGAAACGGAGCGUCGAUGGGUUGUUAAGUCAGUUGUGAAAGUUUGCGGCUAAACCGUAAAAUUGCAAUUGAUACUGGCAGUCUUGAGUACAGUUGAGGUAGGCGGAAUUCGUGGUGUAGCGGUGAAAUGCUUAGAUAUCACGAAGAACUCCGAUUGCGAAGGCAGCUUACUAAACUGCCACUGACAUUGAUGCUCGAAAGUGUGGGUAUCAAACAGGAUUAGAUACCCGAGUAGUC
rnacentral:rRNA from 1 species